rnacentral:rRNA from 1 species
AGACAGCCAGGAUGUUGGCUUAGAAGCAGCCAUCAUUUAAAGAAAGCGUAAUAGCUCACUGGUCGAGUCGGCCUGCGCGGAAGAUGUAACGGGGCUAAACCAUGCACCGAAGCUGCGGCAGCGACGCUUAGGCGUUGUUGGGUAGGGGAGCGUUCUGUAAGCCGUUGAAGGUGGCCUGUGAGGGUUGCUGGAGGUAUCAGAAGUGCGAAUGCUGACAUAAGUAACGAUAAAGCGGGUGAAAAGCCCGCUCGCCGGAAGACCAAGGGUUCCUGUCCAACGUUAAUCGGGGCAGGGUGAGUCGACCCCUAAGGCGAGGCUGAAAAGCGUAGUCGAUGGGAAACAGGUUAAUAUUCCUGUACUUGGUGUUACUGCGAAGGGGGGACGGAGAAGGCUAGGCUAGCCGGGCGACGGUUGUCCCGGUUUAAGCGUGUAGGGGGUGUGACCUGGUAAAUCCGGUU